CCCUUAGAUGUUCUGGGCCGCACACGCGCUACACUGAAGGAGGCAGCGUGUACUCCUAGAUUGAAAGAUUUGGGUAACCCGCGAAUCUCCUUCGUGCUAGAGAUUGAGGUUUGCAAUUAUCCUUCAUGAACGAGGAAUUCCCAGUAAAUGCAAGUCAUAAGCUUGCGCUGACUACGUCCCUGCCCUUUGUACACACCACCCGUCGCUACUACCGAUUGAAUGAUUUAGUGAGGACUUCGGACUAGGACCGAUGCGGCUUUCGGGCUGCGUCGGUAUUCUGGAAAGAUGUCCAAACUGUNUNAUUUAGNGGAAGUAAAANUCGUANCA
rnacentral:rRNA from 1 species